GACUUUGCGUCUACAGCCGAAACGCUACGCGUGAGGCUGACGGCUGGUGGCUUUGGCCACCGGCCU
rnacentral:sRNA from 1 species